CCCUUAGAUGUUCUGGGCUGCACGCGCGCUACACUGAUGCGUUCAACGAGUUUAUGACCUUGCCCGAUAGGGUUGGGCAAUCUUUUUAAAUCGCAUCGUGAUGGGGAUAGAUUAUUGCAAUUAUUAAUCUUCAACGAGGAAUUCCUAGUAAGCGCGAGUCAUCAGCUCGUGCUGAUUACGUCCCUGCCCUUUGUACACACCGCCCGUCGCUCCUACCGAUUAAGUGAUCCGGUGAAUAAUUCGGACUGCAGCAGUGUUCAGUUCCUGAACGUUGCAGCGGAAAGUUUAGUGAACCUUAUCACUUAGAGGAAGGAGAANUCGUANCA
rnacentral:rRNA from 1 species